GUGACGGCCCUUCCAGGAAUUCAGCAGAAAACGAAGUUUACCGUCUGGAGAAGUUUGGGGAAAAUGUGAGGGCUAUCGACUGGUGGAGACCAGACACAGCUGAGAAUUCUGUGGUUCAGUAAUUCGGGUAGAACAGAGUGAAGAUGGAUUGCCUCUGUUGCAUAAUGUCUGGGGCCUAAUCUGGGAAAUUCAAACAGUUGGAGAGAGUUUCUGCUUCGGGGAAAAUCCCAAACUAAAGCAGUUGGGCAAAGAAAUGGUCCUCCAAGAUGGGGUCCUCAAGAUGGGAUGCCUGAUUGGGUCACUCACUGACCAGAUGGUAACAAGGAUCAUAUAUGGGAUGCUGAUAAUCCCUAAAUACCAUAGCACCUCCAUUAGCUCUCACCUGUGGUGAACUGGGAUAGCAUGCGAGUGGAAGGACGAUGUGCUUAUACACCAUCACUGACAUUUCAGAGAUGGCAACAACGGAUACAGCAAGAAGGUAUCUGCCAAGCAGGCAAAGGGCUCUCACCAGGAAGCGAACUGAUCGGCACCUUGAUUUUGGACUUCCCAACCUUCAGAACUUCGAGGAAUAAAUUUCUGUUGUUUAAGCCACCCAGUCAAUGGUAUAUUUGUUACAACAGCCCAAACUGGCGAAGACAGGGUCUGGGCUGAUACUGGUCCUAGGGAAACCAAAAUACCAUCAUGGCUUUCCUGUUAGAGUGAGUGAAGGCAGGCAGAGGCCAGGUAGGUGAUAAAUGGAGUCCUGGCCCAGGUCUAUCUCACAGUGAGUCCAAUGGGUCCCAAGAUCGUGCUCUGCAGUCACUUCCCCAUUCUUUGAAAUAAGGAUGGACACAUUUAACAGGUCACAGAAUCUUCACAUUGAUCCCUCAGCUGCAGUAUGAGAUACUGAAGUAGAAAAGGCCGAGUGGAAGCCUCUGAAACUGCUUCCCCACCCCAGCCAAGAGAGUGACUCAGAAGCAAGACUGCAUCUCAGGUAGAAUACCAAAGAUCAACGAUACCCUCAAAGUCUUUAAAAAUGUGGGGAUGGUUUUAUCUCCCAUUUGGCAUCUGCAAAAGGAUCAUGGUGGAUAACAGUGGGUUACUCUAAAUUUAACCAAGUGGUAGCCUCAAUUUUAGCUGCUAUAUCAGGUUUAGUAUCUUUAUUAGAACAGAUCAACACAGCCUCUGGCAUAGUAUGCAGCUAUUGAUCUGGCAAGCUCAGUCUUUCUAAUCCCAUAAAGAUAGAGGAUCAGAAGCAAGUCACAUUCACUUGAACGGCCAACAAUACCUGUCCAUGGUCUUGUCCUAGGGCAAUAUUAGUGCUCCUGCUCUCUGCCACAGUAUCUGCACAUGCCAGGGGACAACACACCAGCCCGCUUUAUCAAUGACAUCAUUUAAACCAAACCUGGGAUGGUAGCAAGGACUCUGGAUGCUCUGGAAAGACACGCAGGUCAGAGGGUGGAAAAUAAAUCCUGCAAAGAUUCAGGGUCUGCCCCAUCAGUGAAGUUUUCAGGAAAAUAGUAGUCUAGGGCAUGCCAGCACAUUGUCUGCAAAGUAAAGGACACACUGCCCUCUCUACCACUAAAAGCGAGGAGCAGUGCCUGGUAGACCCCUUCAUGUUUUUGGAGAUAGCAUGUAUCCCACUGAGGAAUACUGCUGUAAAUUGUUUAUCAGGUGACUGAGAAGGCUGUCAGUUAUGAGUGGGGCCCAGAGCAAGACAGGGCUUUGCAGGAAGUCAGGCUGUGGUAUGAGCAGUAUGAGCAGCCCUGUCUCCUGGGCCAGGGCAUAUGGCAUGGUACUGGAAGUUUCCACGUAGAGAAGGCUGUUGUGGCAAAGCCUCCACAGGAGUGUCGCAGCACAGAUCUCUCAGGCUCUGCAGCAAGGCUCUGCCGUCUGUAGCAGAGAACUGUUCACCACCUGAAAAGUAGCUUCUGGCAUGCAACUGAGCUCCAACAGAGAGUGAGUGUCUGACCAUGGAACACCAGAGCUGCCCACCCUGGGCUGGGUAUUCUCAGACACACACACAGCCAUGAGGUCAGGUGGGCAACAGCCAUCUGUUAAGUCUGGAACUGUGAAGGGUCUAAGAUAUUAUCCUUCCUGGAUAAUCUAGUGAGCCUCCCACCCUGUCACAGUUUCAUACACACACACACCCCACCUCUGAAUCAGAGAGGAGAACAUUUACUCAGAGAGCAUCCCGGCAGUGCCAAUUCCCCAUACAGCGAUGCAGUAAGGGCCAGAUGUAUAUCCACAUGCCAGGACUGCACCCACAGGAGAGGAACCCUGAAACUAUGCGACUCAGAGCGAUACAGGGGGGCUGGCACACCUGUGCCUUCUCUGUAUCUCUCUCGACCUUUGCUCCGAGAAGAAGAAGAGAAGGUCCUUAGGUUUUUAUUACUCUUACAAUAUAAGCAAAUGGCUCCAGGGCAGAUGAGCCUUAACAACUUUUGGAGUAAUUCACUAUCUCUAAUUUCCAAGAUAUGUUUGUCACUCAAUCAUUCUUUAACCUAGAAUGACAGUCGUUUUUGCUCAGGAAGCUCUGACUGUGCAGAAACAUGAAAGUACCCAUGCAGCAUUGUCUUCCAACACAGUCUAUCGAGGGGAUCCAUUUCAAGCAGGUCCAGAGGGCACAAGUAGCUCACAUCGUGGACUUGUGUUGCACCAGCUCUUCUGCUUCAUCGCAAAACUUUGGCCUUGGUGCCGUGGAGGGAGGGGGGCAAGUGGGUGUCCCAGACCUUUUGUGGAUGGGUCAGCUCAGUGGGUUGGUGUAGCUGAAAAUGGACUGCUUUUGCAUUAUAGUCCCACUCAGGGGUGGCUCUGAUAGUGGUGAGGGAAAAAUCUCCUAGUGGGCAGAGCUUUGAGCAGUAUGCCUGGUCAUUAACACGUUUUAGGGAAAAGUGGCCUGAUGUAAGAAUAUAUAUGGACUCCUGAGCAUCAGGGGCAAAUAAAUUAGUGUUGUAAGUCACAGGCCUGAAAAGAAUAAAAUUGAAAGAUGGCAGACAAAAAGGUCUGGAGAAAAAGCAUGUGGAGAGACCUAUGGGAGUGGGCUGGAAGGGAGAACAGGCAUGGAACAACCAGGUGGUUAGGAUGAUCCAUCUAUUAAAGGUCAGCCACCCCAUCUCCUGCACAAUGGGCCCUGGAAACUAUGAUGAGAGGGAUGGAGACUAUAAAUGAGCCCAAGAUUAUGGGCUUCCCCUCAUUAAGACUGAUACAUCUUCUCCAUUGCUAUAUGUCUGACCUGUCAGCAGCAGAAAUUGAUGGUACUGUGACGGUACAGCCUCUCAAUAUGGUACUUUGCCUUGAGAAUACCAGCCAGCCAUUUGGUGGCAAAUUAAUUAUAUCAGACUGCUCCCACUCCGGAGGGGACAGCAAUUCCUCCUAAGUGGAAUUUGACACAUAUUCCAAAUAUGGGUUUGCCUUCCUUGUCCUAUCCAAGGAUUUACAGAAUGUCUGCUUUAUCACAAUGGGAUCUUGCUUCAAAAUCGCACUGGAAACACUUUGACAGAGGAGGUGCUACAGUGGGCGCAUGGCUGCGGGAUUCACCAGUCUUCCUACACCACCUCACUCACAAGCUGCUGAUCAGACAGAAUACUGGACGAGCCUCUUGAAAGUGCGGCCAGGACACCAACUUAGGGGUAACAAUCUAGGAGACUGGAGCACUGUCCUUCAACACGUGGGUAAUACUUUGAAACAAUGACCACCACUGUGUCCCCACUGGAUAGAAUGCACGGGUCUAGAAAACAGUAAGGGGAAGGACAGUGGCUUCUCUCACUCCAGCAACCCGCUUGGGAACACUCCUCAACUAGAGGUUCUGUUCAAGGAUAGGAGGAAACUUCCACAAAGGGACACCAAGUGCUGUCUAGUUAUUUGGAGCUUUUUAUGCUGGUUGACCAUCAGCCAAAUAAAGGCGUUAGUACACUGGCAGGGAAAUUGGCCUGAUUAUUAAGAAAGAUAAGGUCGCUGCUACAGGGGCAGAGCAGAACAUGUCUGGAACUUAAAGGACUUGCUCUUGGUACAUCUCUGACUUGGUAAUGACAGGAGGGCAAUUGCAGCAACCAUGGCCUUACAAGGGCAAGGUAGGCAGGGACUCAGUGCCUCAGAAGGGAUGAAGGUCUGGGCAGCCCAUUGUAGACUGGCAGAGUGCAAACCUAGAAGGUAUGGUAGAGGAGAGAGGCAAUAAAUAUCAGUAUUGGUCUCAGCACCAAUGCUGUAGCAGUGUGGACUUUAUAGCCUCUUCUAAUCAACCUUCCAAGUUCCUUUUUUAAAAAAAAAAAAAAUAUGACCAACCAACACCUGGAGGAAGCAGUGACAGGACAGAGUAAACUUAAUGUAUGGCCUGAAUAAAUGUACGGUCUGAUCUGUAGAUAUUGUUGCUGUCCUCCCUUACUCCCUCAGGCCUUACCAGGACAGUACAGACAGGUCCCACCUCUCCUACCAACACUUGCUUCUUUUUGCCUAAGGGCUUUGCCUGAGCCAGAGCCCACUCUGCCUGAAUGCAGAGUCCAGAAGUGCCAAGAAUUAACACCCUGUGGUGUUUAUUCAGAGCAGCCUAAAUCAGCGACUGACAGGAGUUGGUGUAUAAAUAUCUCUGUCUCUGCCCCUCAGGUGGGAUAACUUCAAGACACGUAACUUUAAGUCCACUGGUUCCUAGACUUCCUCGGUGGUGUUACACUCCACCCACAGUAGGAUCUGGCUUGAUAGUGUAUCCUCUAUUAGCUGCUCUUCCUUCCGUGUCUCACUCAAUUGAUAUUUCAUGGGACCAUCUCUCAAAUAAACUACUUGCAGUCAAAUUUUUGUCUUAGGGUCCGCCCUUAGGGGAACCCAAACUAACAGAGACGACCUGAGUACAUAACUUAGGAGUAAGAGCAGAUUGGAAAUAGACUAGCCCUGGAAGAGACUGAAGCCCAGUUUCAAUUCAGCUCAGUCCCUGAGUGGAUGAGGAUAAUUUGCCUUUCCUCUAUUUACAUUUGGAAAUCCUCCCUGGAGAAAGAUAUCAUCCUGGGCUGCAAAUUAUCUUUACAAUUUCAUACAGGAUGCCUGGCAUUUAAAUAAAAAUAGCUAGGCAAACAAAAAGACAAAAACGACUGAAAAUCAAGAGGCAAAAUAGACAAGAGGAACAGACUCACAGGCAAUCCAGAUUUUACUAUUAUCAGACAUGGAUUUUCAAAUAACUAUAACUAAUAUGUUCAAGAUACUAACAAUGAAGGACUUCAGCAGAAAACUAGAAGCUAUAAACUAGAAUCAUUAUAAAAACCACAGAGCCGAGGGGUCGGCCCAGUGGUGUGGCAGUUAAGUGCGCACGUUCCACUUCAGU